rnacentral:lncRNA from 1 species
AGACUGUCACAUUAAAGUUUAUUUUGUAGCUAAAUGGGUAUCACUUUUUGCAAAAAAUCAAAGCUUUAAAAAUAUUAGUAAUUAGUUUAGUGAGUAGCUUUCCUCUCAUACUCAAGGUAACUGAUAAAUACACAGAAAAUGAUAUUUUUACAUGAAACUAUAACGAAGAUAUACAUCUAUAGUGACACUUUUCAUACGAAAAUAUCAAAAAAUAUUGUAAAAAGAGUGCAGUCCGUAGUUCGAACUUAACUAUGGGCUUAGGGCCCAACCCGAUGGAAGCUACGGUGCUCAACCCAGCGGAAGCUAAUAUCAACAGAAAUUGGGACUGCCAUUGCAAUCGAAUGCAAGCCCAGCCCAGCCGUCCGUGAAUAAAUAUGGCCGUAGACAAAUGUGAUAUUUAUGGAAAUAUUAUAUGGUUUUGAUAAAUUUUGUUUUCAGGCAGCAACUGCGAUGGAGUAUCUUUUUGUUCCUAGUGUUUGGGACAAUUCAACUAGCAAUUGUCACGCUUACCGUAGAAAGAAAAUGAAGUGCUUGCCAUGGUGUUGAGAUUUAGGCAAGGAACUUUAAGUUAAGACCUUUUUAUUCAAUGUUUUUUGCUUGAUAUAUAUAUUAUGUGAAUAAUGUAUAAUUUUGAAACAUCAUGUUAGUGCAGUACAAUAUUGUUGUGGUCACUUGGUGCCUGCAAACUCUAUGUUCAAUCCCUUGGGAAUGGUGAUUGCAGAGACAGGUGGGAUCAUUUUCCUUGGUCUUGGUAUAUUGGAACCCUCCACCCAAACGACCCCCUGUUGCAAAGCUACAAUGCAUAAUUCAUUAAUAAUUCUGAGAUUUGUUGACGAAAAUGAGUAAUGGUGUGCUGUUUUCACUCAUUUAGCAUUUGUCUAUAUGAAACAUGUUGCACUAAAUUAGCAUCAACGUGAGCCGUGCGUGGAUGAAAGAUCUAACGUAACUCAACUCACAGAAGCUCCACCUGUAAAUGUGAAACAUGAAAAAUGGAAGAAAGAUUAGCAAUCCAAGGGUGCUGUAAUAUAUUUUAAUUCAGUCAAUUGCAACGGUAUUAAUUACAUGAUUUUUUUUUUGUUUGAAAAUUAAACUUAUAGACUAGAGGAUACUUGUGUUCUUGAAACACACAAAAGGGGAUUGGUAUUACAAAAAGGAAAAAGGAGGGAUCAUAUAAUAUAUAUAUAUAUAUAUAUAUAUAUAUAUAUAUAUAUAUAUAUAUAUAUAUUGGAAAAAUAGAGUUGCACAACAUCAAUAUACGAUUAUAGAGUAGUAACUGAAUGAAUUGAUAAUAAAGUAGUAACUCUACUACCGUAUAAACAUGACUACAUUACGAUCGUAGACUGUAUACAUUUAAACAUUUGAAUACAGUCUAUAUGUAUAUAAAUGAAAAAACCUUAUCAAGACUUAAUUUGGCAAUGAUUUCCUCAAUCCUCAUCCUCAGUUCUACCAAAAGUUCAUCUUGUAAAAUCAUGCUCGUUAUUAUUAGGCUUAUGUGAAAGUUAUUAAAAAAAUGUCAUUUUAUAUAUUGUGCAAAAAUUUAAUUAUAAAUGGACGGUUGAUAAAUGAUUAACUUUUUCAAUCCCUACAAUGCCUACUUCCUACAAAUUUUAAAGUUGAUAUUGAUCAUUUUUUUUAAAAAAAAAGUAUUUACUUUACGACAUUUUAAUUGUAUGGUUGAACAUUAGUCCUAUAUCACCAUACAUAGAAUCUUUUCUACUCAAAAAUAGAAAAAAUGGAGUAAUAAUCUUCUUUUUUAUAUUUCGCCAAAAUACAUUUCACAUUAAAAAAAAAACAAAAAUUAAAUCAACAUAUAUAGAUCAUAACUGAAUAGGGUGACAGGGCAACAAAUUCAACUGUUUGUUCCCAUACCUUACACUCUUCUUCUUUCUCUUAUUUGUCCCUGUCAGUUGGAUCUUUUAGGCAUUGCCUCUUCCUGAAACCUGAAAUAGAAAUGAU